AGGCUACAAAUGGGAAGACCAUCAUAUUGAAGAAUCAUGUCAAAGUUCUCGAAGACAUACAAGACAGGAAAGACCCCAUCAGAAGAGGAAAGGACUGACAGAACUGAAGGGGAUUGCAACCCCAUAGGAAGAACAAUAUCAACCCACUGGACCAUAAAGAGCAUCCAGGGACUAAACCACCUAUCAGAGAGUAUACAUGGAGAGAUGCAUGGCUCCAGCU
rnacentral:lncRNA from 1 species